AAUACUCUCUCUCUCUUUGUAAUUCGGUGGAAGCAGCUAGGGUUUCUCUUACUUGCAUCUCGAUUUAGCAGCAUCGGCAUCCAAUAAUCUUGCUCGAAAUUCGUUAUGGAGGGAUCUCCUGGAAUUAAAGAUAGCGGUAAGUCUGAGGUGCAUUUGACUUCAGUUGCUGCUUCUGUGGAGGGUUAAAUUCAGGAUGCUUGUGACAAUUCUGGCAGCAUCUGUCUUGAAGUCUUCUGUGACAGUGAUCCUUCCACCGUGACAAGUUGCAAGCAUGAGUUUCAUUUUCAGUGCAUUCUGGAAUGGUAUUGUUCUUUGGCUUUCUCUGUUAACUGUUUAGUCCUGUAUU